UGCCGGAUAGUCUAAUGGCAGGACAACGGUUUUUGGUGCCGUGUGUCUAGGUUCGAAUCCUAGUCCGGCAGCCA
rnacentral:tRNA from 1 species